AGCUCAGUGGUUGAACAAUCGCUUCACAAGCGAUAGGUCGGUGGUUCGAACCCACC
rnacentral:tRNA from 1 species